GGGCCCGCACAAGCGGUGGAGCAUGUGGUUUAAUUCGAUGCAACGCGAAAAACCUUUACCUACUCUUGACAUACUUGGAAGCUCUUGUAAUGAGAGUGUGCCUUUUGGAACCAAGAUACAGGUGCUGCAUGGCUGUCGUCAGCUCGUGUCGUGAGAUGUUCCGUUAAGUCGGAUAACGAGCGCAACCCUUACCCUUAUUUGCCAGCGAUUCGGUCGGGAACUAUAAGGGGACUGCCGGUGAUAAACCGGAGGAAGGUGAGGACGACGUCAAGUCAUCAUGGCCCUUACGAGUAGGGCUACACACGUGCUACAAUGGGGAAUACAGACGGACGCUAAGCCGCGAGGUGGUGCUAAUCCCAGAAAGUACAUCGUAGUCCGGAUCGGAGUCUGCAACUCGACUCCGUGAAGUCGGAAUCGCUAGUAAUCG
rnacentral:rRNA from 1 species